GAUGAACGCUAGCGGCAGGCUUAAUACAUGCAAGUCGAGGGGCAGCAUGGUGUAGCAAUACACUGAUGGCGACCGGCAAACGGGUGCGGAACACGUACGCAACCUUCCCAAAAAUGGUGAAUAGCCCUUCGAAAGGAGGAUUAAUACACCGUAACAUAAUGAAGUGGCAUCAUUUUAUUAUUAUAGCUCCGGCGGUUUUGGAUGGGCGUGCGACUGAUUAGGUAGUUGGCGGGGUAACGGCCCCCCAAGCCUGCGAUCAGUAAAUGGUGUGAGAGCACGACCAGUCACACGGGCACUGAGACACGGGCCCGACUCCUACGGGAGGCAGCAGUAGGGAAUAUUGGACAAUGGGCGAAAGCCUGAUCCAGCCAUGCCGCGUGAUAGAUGAAGGCCCUUUGGGUUGUAAAUAUUUUUUAUUUGGGAAGAAACCCCUCGUUUUUUCGAGGCUUGACGGUACCAGAGGAAUAAGCACCGGCUAACUCCGUG
rnacentral:rRNA from 1 species